CCCUAUUUGCUCAGAGGUUUUCAGAAAAAGGAGCUUAAAACCAGCAUUUUAAAAACCAGAAAAUAACACAAUAAGCUAGAAUUUGCAAGACAAAGCCUGGUUUGUGUGUGGAGUGGGUCCAAGGAUUUCGAAGGGACUUCAGGGUGCGAACAGUCUUGUGCUGGGCUCACGUGUGUUUCUAUGAAGAAUGUUGUGCGUGUCAAACCAGUAUGCCGUGUAGAGGAACGUGACAGCCAAGCUGACAAAGAUGAGGAUGACUGAAAUAGGCAGAUGAUGACAAUGACUUUUAUGAUUAGCUACAAGAACCUUACUUGAAAACUUUGCAGUUUCCUACAAAUUUUAACAGAAAAUUUUUGAUUGUUUUCUGUAAAUGAAUGCUUUCAAAAUACUAAUAAAAUAAUGCCAUGGGA